UACGUAGGCAGCAAGCGUUGUUCGGAAUUACUGGGCGUAAAGAGUGUGUAGGCGGUGCUCCAAGUCUGGUGUGAAAUCUCCCGGCUUAACUGGGAGGGUGCAUUAGAAACUGGAAUGCUAGAGGAUGGGAGAGGUAAGCGGAAUUCCUGGUGUAGCGGUGAAAUGCGUAGAUAUCAGGAGGAACACCUGGUGGUGUAGACAGCUUACUGGACCAUUUCUGACGCUGAGACACGAAAGCGUGGGUAGCAAACAGGAUUAGAACCUAC
rnacentral:rRNA from 1 species